ACCAUCUUGGCACAGUGGUUAGCACAUUUGCCUUGCGUGCAGGGGCUGGAGGUUCGAUUCCUGCCUCUGCCU